UGGGGAAUUUUGGACAAUGGGGGCAACCCUGAUCCAGCAAUGCCGCGUGUGUGAAGAAGGCCUUCGGGUUGUAAAGCACUUUUGUCCGGGAAGAAAUCCCCUGCCCUAAUACGGCGGGGGGAUGACGGUACCGGAAGAAUAAGCACCGGCUAACUACGUGCCAGCAGCCGCGGUAAUACGUAGGGUGCGAGCGUUAAUCGGAAUUACUGGGCGUAAAGCGUGCGCAGGCGGUGAUGUAAGACCGAUGUGAAAUCCCGGGCUCAACCUGGGAACUGCAUUGGUGACUGCAUUGCUCGAGUAUGGCANAGGGGGGUGGAAUUCCACGUGUAGCAGUGAAAUGCGUAGAGAUGUGGAGGAACACCGAUGGCGAAGGCAGCCCCCUGGGCCAAUACUGACGCUCAUGCACGAAAGCGUGGGGAGCAAACAGGAUUAGAUACCCUGGUAGUCCACGCCCUAAACGAUGUCAACUGGUUGUCGGGCCUUCAUUGGCCUGGUAACGUAGCUAACGCGUGAAGUUGACCGCCUGGGGAGUACGGUCGC
rnacentral:rRNA from 1 species